GACGAACUCUGGCGGCGUGCCUAAUACAUGCAAGUGGGACGCAAGAGAACACACUGUGCUUGCACACCGUGUUUUCUUGAGUCGCGAACGGGUGAGUAACGCGUAGGUAACCUGCCUAUUAGCGGGGGAUAACUAUUGGAAACGAUAGCUAAUACCGCAUAAUAUUAAUUAUUGCAUGAUAAUUGAUUGAAAGAUGCAAGCGCAUCACUAGUAGAUGGACCUGCGUUGUAUUAGCUAGUUGGUAAGGUAAGAGCUUACCAAGGCGACGAUACAUAGCCGACCUGAGAGGGUGAUCGGCCACACUGGGACUGAGACACGGCCCAGACUCCUACGGGAGGCAGCAGUAGGGAAUCUUCGGCAAUGGACGAAAGUCUGACCGAGCAACGCCGCGUGAGUGAAGAAGGUUUUCGGAUCGUAAAGCUCUGUUGUAAGUCAAGAACGUGUGUGAGAGUGGAAAGUUCACACAGUGACGGUAGCUUACCAGAAAGGGACGGCUAACUACGUGCCAGCAGCCGCGGUAAUACGUAGGUCCCGAGCGUUGUCCGGAUUUAUUGGGCGUAAAGGGAGCGCAGGCGGUCAGGAAAGUCUGGAGUAAAAGGCUAUGGCUCAACCAUAGUGUGCUCUGGAAACUGUCUGACUUGAGUGCAGAAGGGGAGAGUGGAAUUCCAUGUGUAGCGGUGAAAUGCGUAGAUAUAUGGAGGAACACCAGUGGCGAAAGCGGCUCUCUGGUCUGUCACUGACGCUGAGGCUCGAAAGCGUGGGUAGCGAACAGGAUUAGAUACCCUGGUAGUCCACGCCGUAAACGAUGAGUGCUAGGUGUUAGGCCCUUUCCGGGGCUUAGUGCCGGAGCUAACGCAAUAAGCACUCCGCCUGGGGAGUACGACCGCAAGGUUGAAACUCAAAGGAAUUGACGGGGGCCCGCACAAGCGGUGGAGCAUGUGGUUUAAUUCGAAGCAACGCGAAGAACCUUACCAGGUCUUGACAUCCCGAUGCUAUUCUUAGAGAUAGGAAGUUACUUCGGUACAUCGGAGACAGGUGGUGCAUGGUUGUCGUCAGCUCGUGUCGUGAAAUGUUGGGUUAAGUCCCGCAACGAGCGCAACCCUUAUUGUUAGUUGCCAUCAUUAAGUUGGGCACUCUAGCGAGACUGCCGGUAAUAAACCGGAGGAAGGUGGGGAUGACGUCAAAUCAUCAUGCCCCUUAUGACCUGGGCUACACACGUGCUACAAUGGUCGGUACAACGAGUUGCGAGCCGGUGACGGCAAGCUAAUCUCUGAAAGCCGAUCUCAGUUCGGAUUGGAGGCUGCAACUCGCCUCCAUGAAGUCGGAAUCGCUAGUAAUCGCGGAUCAGCACGCCGCGGUGAAUACGUUCCCGGGCCU
rnacentral:rRNA from 1 species